rnacentral:tRNA from 4 species
CGGGAUGUAGCGCAGCCUGGUAGCGCACUUGCAUGGGGUGCAAGGGGUCGUGGGUUCAAAUCCCGCUAUCCCGACCA